rnacentral:tRNA from 1 species
GAUUGUAGCACAGUGGUAGUGCACUUGCCUAGCAGGAAUGAGGCCCUGGGUUCCAUUCCCAGCACA